rnacentral:rRNA from 1 species
AGAGUUUGAUUAUGGCUCAGGAUGAACGCUAGCUACAGGCUUAACACAUGCAAGUCGAGCGGAAUGCUUCGGGCAUUAGCGGCAGACGGGUGAGUAACACGUAUCCAACCUUUCCCUUACUCGGGUAUAGCCUCGGGAAACUGAGAGUAAUCCCCGAUGUUGUGUACGAAUAGCAUUUUUUGCACACUAAAGAUUUAUCGGUAAGGGGUGGGGAUGCGUUCCAUUAGGUAGUAGGCGGGGCAACGGCCCACCUAGCCGAUGAUGGAUAGGGGUUCUGAGAGGAAGGUCCCCCACAUUGGAACUGCGACACGGUCCAAACUCCUACGGGAGGCAGCAGUGAGGAAUAUUGGUCAAUGGUCGGAAGACUGAACCAGCCAAGUAGCGUGCAGGAAUGACGGCCCUAUGGGUUGUAAACUGCUUUUGUGCGGGAAUAACGGUAGCCACGUGUGGUUGCGUGCAUGUACCGUACGAAUAAGGAUCGGCUAACUCCGUGCCAGCAGCCGC